rnacentral:rRNA from 1 species
AUGGGGUGCAGCAGGCGCGAAACCUUUACAAUGUGCGAAAGCAUGAUAAGGGAACUCCGAGUGCCAGCAUCUAAUGUUGGCUGUCCUUGUGCCUAAAACGCACAAGAUAGCAAGGGCCGGGUAAGACCGGUGCCAGCCGCCGCGGUAACACCGGCGGCCCGAGUGGUAGCCGAUAUUAUUGGGUCUAAAGGGUCCGUAGCCGGUUCGAUAAGUCCUCUGGGAAAUCUGGUUGCUUAACUGUCAGACUGCCAAGGGAUACUGUCGAACUUGAGACCGGGAGAGGUAAGAGGUACUUCAGGGGUAGGAGUGAAAUCUUGUAAUCCCUGGGGGACCAUCUGUGGCGAAGGCGUCUUACCAGAACGGGUCUGACGGUGAGGGACGAAAGCUGGGGGAGCAAACCGGAUUAGAUACCCGGGUAGUCCCAGCCGUAAACGAUGCUCGCUAUGUGUCAGGUACGGUGUGACCGUAUCUGGUGCCGUAGGGAAGCCGUGAAGCGAGCCACCUGGGAAGUACGGCCGCAAGGCUGAAACUUAAAGGAAUUGGCGGGGGAGCACUACAACGGGUGGAGCCUGCGGUUUAAUUGGAUUCAACGCCGGAAAACUCACCGGGAGCGACAGCAAUAUGUAGGUCAGGCUAAAGACCUUACCUGAAUCGCUGAGAGGAGGUGCAUGGCCGUCGUCAGUUCGUACUGUGAAGCAUCCUGUUAAGUCAGGCAACGAGCGAGACCCGUGCCCACUGUUGCCAGCAUGUCCUUCGGAAUGAUGGGAACUCUGUGGGGACCGCCGCUGCUAAAGCGGAGGAAGGAGCGGGCUACGGUAGGUCAGUAUGCCCCGAAUCUCCCGGGCUACACGCGGGCUACAAUGAUUGGGACAAUGGGUCCCUACUUCGAAAGGAGAUGGUAAUCUCAUAAACUCAACCCUUAUUUCGAAUUGGAGGGGUUGUAACUCGUCCCUCUUGAAAGUUGGAAAUCCCGAAUUAUUCGCGUUUCAGACAUAGCGGCGGUGAAACACGAUCCCUUGUCUCUCUGUACACAUCCUGAUCGGUCAAACCUAGCCCGAAGUGGUAAGCCAAUCGGAGUGUGUAGGUCGUCAUCGCG